CAUACAAAUAAGCAAUUUAUUUUAGUGUAUAUCAAAAAGAGGAUUCAAUAACUAAAUUUAUGAUUUAAAAAGGAAUUAAAUGCUAAAAAUUAACAGCUUUAUAACAAUGAUAAAUUAAAUGAAAGAAGCUCUCUUACAGGCUCAACACUAUAGUAACUCUUAUCAUCAACGAAAAACUAAAAAGAAUUUACUUCAAAAGAAUCCAUAUAUAAAAAUAAAAAAUUAAGAAGAAUAUGCUAGUGCAAUGACAAAAAAUUCCCAUCCCUGCAACAGUUUGCAGGCAUCAUUCAGGAUGAGUAUACAGCAGCACAAAACUAACCUGG
rnacentral:misc_RNA from 1 species